GAAAUCAGAACCUCUUUGAUCACUGGGUUUUCUCCUCUGCAAAAUAAAGAUCUUUCUUUUGCAGGAUUAUGGUGAAGACGGGAAGGGCUCUCAUCUAGAAGGGAAGCCAGCAGGACCUUGCCACUAGCUGUCCUGCCCCCCUCAGCUGCUUGUGUUUCAUCUGGUGCUUAAUGGAGGCCCGCCUGAAGGAGGCUACAGGAGGACUAGCAUCUUUGCCCUUGUUCUUUCCAUUGCUCUGUGCAACAGAUCUUUGGUUGCUGAAACCCACAGUGGAAACAAAUGACUUGUCAAGGACCCUGAAGUAACAAACCGUAUGAACUUUAGGCCAUAGGAACCCUGAAGUUGCUUCAUUCCCAGGGACCGGAAGUUGUCAUGGGGGCUUCUAUGGCCCUUGAGAGGAAGAACAUGGGAUGCAACGCUCUUCUAACAAGGCCUAGAGACCAAGAGGGUAGGAAUUUUUUCAUGUAAUGUACUAUAUAAAAUUUACAUUUGUUGAAACAAUUAGCUACUCUUUGACCAACAUGAGCUCUCUUACUCUAUGACGUUACCAAUGCAGAUCAUAAAGAAAGGAGCUUCUCACCUACCUAUCUCAGAACACUGUUUCUGUUUCCUGGUAUACUGGGCUGUCCUCCCCAUUUCCCCCCACCCUAACGCAUUUUCUCCUGGAAUCUCAAAACAUGACUGCUGGGUGUUGGGGGCAGGGGCAGACAGUGCUGCCACAAACCAAGGAAUGCCUGUGGGCACCAGAUAAAGAGAAAUUCAUUCCCUCCUGGAGUGCUGGGAGGAUGGCCCUGCCAACACUCUGAUGCCCCACUUCUAAGCUCUAGAACUAUCAACACUCUAAUGUUCCAU